rnacentral:antisense_RNA from 1 species
GCUAAAUUGUGUUUCCCCCCACUGAAAUUCAUGCGUUGAAAUCCUAAUCCCCAGUACCUCAAAAUGUGACUGUAUUUGGAGGUAGAAACUUUAAAAGGUGAUUAAGUUAAAAUGAGGUCAUUAGGGUGGGCCCUAAUCCAAUCUGACUGGUGUCUUUAUGAGAAGAGGAGAUUAGGCCACAUGGAGAAACCAGGGAUGCCUGCACACAGAGAAAAGACCUUUUGAGGAUGUAGUGGGAAGAUACCAUCUGCAAGGCAAGGAAAAGGGUCUCAGAAGAAACCAAACUCACAAGAAAGCCAACACCUUGAUCUUAGACUUCCAGCCUCCAGAAUUGUGAGAAAACACAUUUCUGUUUAAGCCACCCAAUCUGUGGUGGUUUGUGGUGGCAGCCCUAGCAAACUAAUACAGGUGGCUACUGUGAAUGGGAACUUCCCGUAUUAUAUAUUACAUCUCUAACCAGUUAUUUGUUUUGUAGGAAAUAUGAUGAUUUUGUAGUUUAUUUUCCUGGAUUUUCUGGAUGGAAAAAUGUUUUUAUCUGCAAAUGAUCACAGUUUUGCUGCCCACUUUCUAGUCAUUUUGCCUUUUGUUUCUUUUUCUUUUCUUUUUCUUUUUUUUCUUGAGACAAGAGUCUCGCUCUGUCACCCAGGCUGGAGUGCAGUGGUGUGAUCUCGGCUCACUGCAACCUCCAUCUCCUGGGUUCAAGCGAUUCUUCUGCCUCAGCCUCCUGAGUAGCUGGGACUACAGGUGCAUGCCACCAUGCCCGGCUAAUUUUUGUAUUUUUAGUAGAGACGGGGUUUCACCAUGUUGGCCAGGAUGGUCUCGAUCUCCUGACCUCGUGAUCCACGUGCCUCGGCCUCACAAAGUGCUGGGAUUACAGGCAUGAGCCACCGCGCCUGGCCUUUUAUUUCUUUUUAAAUCCUUGCUCAUAUAUCUUUGAGUAUAUCUGUGAAUAUUUCUAUCAGACAAAUUCAUAAAAGUUAUUACUAGUUUGUAAUGUUCCUUUUUCUAAAGAAUGGGCAUGCAGUUUUAUUAAAUAUCUUUUAGUGUCCAUUAAGAUGACCAUUUUUUUUCGCUUUAUUCUGUUUUUUUAUAUGUAUUACAUUAGCCCAUCUCCAAUAUUAAACUAGCUUUGUGUUUCUGGGAUAAAAACUCCUUUGACAUUUGACGUGUGCUGACACUGACAUUCUUUGAGUAAAUAAAAUAAAAAACAGGAGUAUACCAAUGUACACCAACAUACCCUGCUGCUUUAUUCGGGUUACUGACUAUACUUUCUGUCUGAAAUUGUCACUCUGUCCUCAGUAGAUGACUGUAUUUAGUAACUACAAACCCUGAGUCAGGCUUUCAGAAUGCCCUUCUUUUUAUUUAUUAGUAGAGAUGAGAUCUUGCUAUGUUGCCGGCGCUGGUCUCGAACUCCUGGGCUCAAGUAAUCCUCUCUCCUCAGCCUCCCAAAGUGCUGGGAUUACAGGCAUGAGCCACUGUUCCUGGCCAGAGUGGCCUUCUAAUGGUGCUUCCAUGGACCUCUCCUUUGCUCCGAUUUUCUUUCUCUUGCUUUUGGAGCUGCUCCUUUAGAGGUGAGACCACCCUUCAAGUGGGUGAAAUCAGCUGUGAGUCUCUCAUUGCUUCUGUGUACUUCCCACAGCCUAGUAAAUUUUCUCUUUGCUCCUCAAGCCCUGGAACAUUUGGGCCUCCACCCACCUGUCUUACUCUCUGCGGAGAGUCUUGCUUCAUAUUUAGAGUCAGAUUAAGACCAGUGGAAAUGAACUGCCUUACAUUUUCUCUGUUUCAGCAUAUCUUCCUCUGUCACCUAUUUUCUCCAGGUUUGGAUAAAAGGUAGUCUCUCCUGAUAAUUCUCAACACCUGAUGGACACCUAUUCCAGGAGAACACUCUGCAUCCUGAAGCUCAUUCUGUCCUAAAUGGAUCCCAUAUCUCCUCUCAACGCAGAGACAAAAACAAACAUUCCUUUAGGCCUAGGACCAUCACUUCCCUUGUGUCUGUUCAUGGACCACAAUACCUUGCCUGCUUCAAUGGCUGCAAGUGUUUAUCAUCUCUGUCUUGUCUGGGCCCUGCAUACAAGUGAUCUGCCCUCAUAUCCAACACUCCAGUUUAGACCCUAGUAACCUCUUACUGGUGGGUUCUAAUAACCUUUUAAUAACUUCCCUCUAUCUUGCCCCUUGCUUUAUAUUGAGAUCAUAUUCAUUGUUUCCCCUCCAUCUUGCUGCCUGGAUCAUGAAUGAUGUCUGUACCACAGGGACCAGGAUGCCAUCUAAGGACAAUGGAGCAAUGAGCUGGGAGGAACCUGGAUCCUGAACAUUGUGUGGAGUACAGCUGUCAUAAGGCUGAGGCUGCAUUUUGUGUGUGUGUGUGUGUUUACUUUAACCUGAGCUUAUGAGAGCUCUGGGUAAUGUAAAUAGAAUAGCUCCUUUAGGAAGUGCCUUAGUCAGUUUGGGCUGCUAUAACAAAAAUGCCGUAUACUGGUGGCUUAAAUAACUAUUUAUCAUAAUUUUGGAGGCUGGGAAGUCCAAGAUCCAGACACUGGCAGAUCUGGCAUCAGGUGGGGGCCUGCUUCCUGGCUUAUAGACAGUUGCCUUCUUGCUGUAUCUUCACAUAGCUGAUGGAGAGAUCAUUUUGCUCUUGUGUCUUCUUAUAAGGGCACUCAUCCCAUUUGUGAAGGCUCCACCCUCAUGACCUGAUUACCUCCCCAAAGCACUACCUGCUAGUACCAUCACGUUGGGGAUUAGGCUUCAACCUAUACAUUUUAUGGGGAAAUGAACAAUCAGUCCAUAUCAGGGAGAAAUAAAUAUAUGUAACUAUAAUCACAAGUUAAGUAGUUAAAAAAUAUCAAUACCUUAUUCUGUGCAUGGCCCUGCCAAUUUACUAAAAGCUGUCAUAAAGGACACUGAUCAUAAAACUUAGCCAAUCAUUUUAGCCUGCACAAAUUCUAUACAGUAUUUGAAAUAAUCAACCAAACAAUAAUUCUUCAAACUUUGUUUUGUUUUGUUUUGUUUUGUUUUGAGACAGUUUCACUCUGUCACCCAGGCUGGAGUGCAGUGGCAGGAUCUCGGUUCACUGCAACCUCCGCCUCCCGGGUUCAAGCAGUUCUCUUGCCUCAGCCUCCCAAGUAACUGGUACUACAGUUUGUCCUCGGCUGUUACAGAGAAUUGAUACAAAAAAUGAUCAUGUGAAGAAUUUGCAUCUUCUGCAGAACUACCGGUAUCAGUCAGCAGUAGAUUGCCAGACACGGUGGCUCACGCCUAUAAUCCUAGCACUUUGGGAGGCUGAGGUGUGUGGAUCACUUGAGCCCAGGAGUUCAAGACCAGCCUGAGCAACAUGGUGAAACCCCAUCUCUGCAAAAAAUACAAAAAUUAGCCAGGCGUGGUGGUGUGUACCUGUGGUCCCAGCUGCUGGGAAGGCUGAGGUGGGAGGAACAUUUAGGCCCAGAAGUUGAGCCGUGAUCACGCCACUGCACUCCAGCCUGGAUGACACAGCAAGACCUUGUCUCAAAAAAUAAAAUAAAAUAAAUUUUAAAAAA